GCUGCUUUGGAGAAGUGGGAAGAGGAAAGGAGGGACCAGAGUCCAGUUGUUCUGUGGUCUGGGCCAAGCAUUUCCUCACCAGAUCAUUGUCACUACUUCCCCAAAUACUGAUGAAGAUGAAUGCCUCUUUAGAAGAUGGAAAAUUACAACCAGGAGCCACAUACCACACAACCAGGCAGAAAUAAAAACAAAAUUUCAAAAUGACAGCAAAUUCUUUAUCAUCUGAAAAUCCCCGUGGCUUGGGAGAGACGUGCCCCAGAGUUCCCAGUAUUUCAACCAGAGACACAUUUGUCAAAGAAAGUCACUCAGAUGUCAUCACUACUGUUUCUCAGAAGCAAAUAGUGGAUUUUACAGCUGAGUUUCAUUCAGUUAACAAGUGAAAACUGAUAAAGCAACUGAUGAAAAUGAUUGGAGAAAAAUUGUCAGAAUUAUAUAACCAGAUAGAAGGAAAUUCCAUGCCAGGGUGAAGGUCGGAAUGAUGGAAAUAGACACAUAUGAAAAUGAAGUUGCUCCAGAAGUUUGAGGAAUAUCAUGAUUAACUUGUUCCAUUCAUAUUUUCUUUUUUGUUCACUGUGCAAGGUCAAAAUGCAUGUGUAAAUAAACUCUUUAGUCAUGGUUUAUUGAACAUGUAAUGAAACAAUUCUAAGUGAUAAGAGAAGCUUAGAAGUAUUUUCCUUUCAUAGACAAUAAAUGGUGUUCUAGAUUUUCUGAAAAGUACAUUUUAUCUUGUUUACCUAUCCAUCUACUUUAGUACAGAACUUGUCCUAAAAUUUACGGCAAGCUUAAUGGAGAAAAGGAAAAAAAUGGAAGAAAAAGCAGGAAAAUAGAAGCAAAACACUAUAGUGCUUGCAUUUCACUUUGUAUCUUGGCUUUUAUUCCCUGCUUGUUGGCUCAAUGUGUGUAGAAAUUUUACCAUCUAAAUUUUAUUUUUUUUUACUACUUACAGCUGAUAACAAAUAGCAAACUGAACACAUUUAUGGUAUGUAUUUCAUAAGAGGCUAACAAACUAAACAAAAUAUUACAAAAGACAGCCUUAAAAAAGAAGUGAGCUGCCAUUUGGCAUAUAAAGGGAAACAAAUCAUAAUAUGCUGAUUCAUCAGGACAAAUACAUAUUGUAUCCUUUUAAAAGAAAAUAUGGAACUGCUGAA